UACGUAGGGGGCAAGCGUUGUCCGGAUUUAUUGGGCGUAAAGAGCGUGUAGGCGGCCAUACAGGUCCGUUGUGAAAACUGGAGGCUUAACCUCCAGACGUCGAUGGAAACCGUAUGGCUAGAGUCCGGAAGAGGAGAGUGGAAUUCCUGGUGUAGCGGUGAAAUGCGCAGAUAUCAGGAAGAACACCCGUGGCGAAGGCGGCUCUCUGGGACGGUACUGACGCUGAGGAGCGAAAAGCGUGGGGAGCGAACAGG
rnacentral:rRNA from 1 species